UCUUUCUGUUUCUGUCUCUCUGUUUCCUUUCUUUUUCUUCGUCUCUCUCCCUCUCUUUCUCUCUCUCCCCCCCUCUUAAUGCAAUGCUUUCUUUCACUCGCGCUCCCUCUCUCACACACACACUCUCUCUCUCUCUCUAUCUCUCUCUCUCUGUCUCUCUCUCUCUCUCUCUCUCUCUCUCUCUCUCUUUAAAAAGAAAAAUUCUGUGUACCUUUUUCACAAGAAAGCUCAAGAAAUUGGUGAUAAUUCAUUUUCCAUUGCACUGACCUGAUGAUGCAAAUCGUGUGUAUCAAGUGCAGUUUGUGUAUAUUUUUGCCAGUUCCCCAAAGCCUCUCUCCCUGGUGAUUUGUUUUUCUGUCACGCAGGCUGAUCGCUUCCCUAACACAUGAUGGAAAGAUGCACCUAUUUAUUUUGAUUUUACCCACUCAAAUGAGGAGAAAAACACAUCCCCCUUUUGCCUUUUUCUUGUUGAUAUUGGUGUUGACACGUGGCGUACGAUGAUACGAAGAACACUGUCCUUCCUGCAAGCAGCAUUAUGUAUGGCUUUCUAAGCACCUUUGUGUAUGAUGAUGAUGAUGAUGAUCAUGAUGAUGAUGAUGACACUGUUGCAAUGUUUUCAUCGAAGGAAACGAUUCACUCUUUCAUAUAAAUAAUAUUUCAUCUGAUAAUGGUCUGCCAUUUUAUUAUUUUACGAAGCAAAGAAGGAAAUGAUUCAUGUCAUGUUUCAUUUUACGGUCCGCUGCCAUUUUAUCUUUUACCUAAAGAGGUGGAAACAGAUUUGCGUUUCGAUUAAAUUUUGUCUGCCACUUUAUUGGUUUAUUUGACGACGCUUGAAAAUGUUGCUAAGGACGCUACGUACAUGGCUGGCUUGAUUUCCCUUUGUCUGUGUAGGUGUGUGUAGAUAAGUCGUAGAAAGCCUGUGUUUGACCUUCCUGGCUGCGUGCCCUCCUCCUGCCCUCUGCUUUUUUGUACUCCUUCUGUAGGCACGGGAUAGGUGCACGGAUAGGUGAAUGCCCGGAUAGGUGAAUGCACGGAUAGGUGAAUGCCCGGAUAGGUGAAUGCCCGGAUAGGUGAAUGCACGAAUAGGUGAAUGCCCGGAUAGAUGAAUGCACGGAUAGGUGAAUGCCCGGAUAGGUGAAUGCACGGAUAGGUGAAUGCCCGGAUAGGUGAAUGCCCGGAUAGGUGAAUGCACGAAUAGGUGAAUGCCCGGAUAGGUGAAUGCACGGAUAGGUGAAUGGUGUUAGCACUCCGCGAAUAGAUGCACAUUUAUAGGUGCACGGUGUUAGGAAUGCACGGAUAGGUGAAUGGUGUUAGCUCUUCGUGGAUAGGUGAAUGCAAGGAUAGGGGCACGGAUAGGUGCACUGUGUAGCACUACGUGGAUAGGUGAAUGCACGGAUAGGUGCUCAGUGUUAGCACUCCACGGAUAAGUGCACCUUGUUAGCACUGCGCAGAUAGAUAAUUGCUUGGAUAAGUUCAUGCUGUUAGCAUUGCACGGAUAAGUGAAUGUACGGAUAGGUGCACUGCUUUGUGUAGGCAGAAGCUGCUGUAGUUUCUGGGCCGUGUUUUGUUUUGUUUGAUGAGUUUUUGCAGCGGGCUGGAGGUAGUUAGGUUAAGAUUUGAGGUUUUGGUGUGGAUAGGAUAUCCAGAGUCUUUUUUGUUUGUGUAGUUGUUUUUGCUAGAAAUUGGAUAUAUGUAUACUGGUUUUAAGAGAGAAACAGUGAGAGACAAAGGAAAAGAUUAGAGACAGAUAGAAUUGAGAAAUAGUGACAGAUAGAAUUGAGAAAUAGCGAGAGAUAGAAUUGAGAAAUAGUGACAAAUAGAAUUGAGAAAUAGUGACAGAUAGAAAUGAGAAAUAGCGAGAGAUAAAAAAGAGAAAUAGCGAGAGAUAGAAAAGAGAAAUAGCGAGAGAUAGAAUUGAGAAAUAGCGAGAGAUAAAAAAGAGAAAUAGCGAGAGAUAGAAAAGAGAAAUAGCGAGAGAUAGAAAAGAGAAAAUAGCAAGCAGUGGAACAGGCAGGUCUUAGGCUAUGUUUAUUGUUGACAAAGUUAAUUGGGAAUGAAUCGAAUUUGUUUCGAGAGCGAUGAGCUGAAAGUGAUAUUUCAUGUAUGAAAACGUGUAUAAUGUGCGUAAUAAUCAGAUCUACUUUCCUCUGAGUAUUACCAUGAGGACACUAGGAGAGCCAGCAAACGUUUGGUUAAUGGUGUAAAGUACAGUAAAGUGUUGAAUUUGUGGCUUUAACAAUACAAUAGUUGGGGAGAGGACAGUUUGUGACUAGAGAGCUGUGAAUUCUAUGAGAAAUAUUCAACCUUUGGUCUCCAUAAUUCUAAAUGUUGUGAUACAUAAUGUUCACUAAGGUAGCGUCUUCCUUCAGUGAGCGUUUCAUGAGAGGGGAUCUCAGAGAAGGGGACAAACUGUAUAGUAAUAGUAGAUCUGUCUAGAUAAGUUCUGAGAGGCUGUGAGCAAUAGUGUGGAGAGAUGGAAUAAAUAGGAUUGAAACGUCAGCUCAUGUAAUCAUGUAGAGUGUAACACGGAUAGCUCGUAUUCGUCCGGACCGGCCUUGGUAGUUCGAGGAAUCCCUAGUUGGAGGGAUAUCUUACAAAGAUAAAGAAGAAAAGAAGAAAAAAAAUACGGGACCGCAGGCUCAGUUCGGCUGAUGCGUGAUUUUGAGUCUUCUGUGUCGACUUAUUCGUGUUAUACUUUACUAUCUUAUUUUACCUAGAGAAACUUGUUUGUUUUAUUAUUUGUCAGCUUUGUUUGAUUACUGAGGUGCAGGUACCAGCUUUAACUCUUUAACUCUUUCUGUAACUUUAACCCUCUGCUCUGUUUCCAGAUGUAGCCAGAGAAAGGAUCAGAUGAUACAUUUGAAUAUGAUGCUGUUUGCCAAUAAUGUACUGGCGUUUACCUCAGUGGCAGAUGAGACUUACGCUAUUUUCCUCCGCCUUUAUGACAAUCACUAUAAUAUGACAUGACCACACUGGUCUGCCAUAACUUUUGUACUAGUUGAGAAUGGGAAACAAUAGAAGUAAAUCUACUAUUUCAGUAGGAGUAAUUCUAUUAUUGCUAUAGGAAUUGUUUCUUUUAUGACAAUAGGAGUAAUUCUAUUAUUUCUUUUAUGACAAUAGGAGUAAUUCUAUUAUUAGGAGUAAUUCUAUUAUUACUAAUAUUUCAGUAGGAGUAAUUCUUUUAUUACUUUUAUGACAAUAUGAGUAAUUAUAUUAUUAAAAUAUGAGUAAUUCUAUUAUUACUUUUGUGGCAAUAGGAGUAAUUUUAUUAUUUCUAUUAUGACAAUAGGAGUAAUUCUAUUAUGACAAUAGGAGUAAUUCUAUUAUUACUUUAAUGACAAUAGGAGUAAUUCUAUUAUUACUUUAAUGACAAUAGGAGUAAUUCUAUUAUUACUUUAAUGACAAUAGAGGAGUAAUUCUAUUAUUACUUUUAUGGCAGUAGGGGCAAUUCUGCGGACUCUACAGGUUCAGUGGUUUAGGUCCAGUCACAUCCCACCAGUCACCAUUCAAAUGAUUCUACUACCUUUUGGAGAGGUAUCUUUUGGCGUGGAUACUGUAUCAAAUGGAUAUUUUUAGAACAAUAUAAUAUGGCAUUCAGUGCUACAAGAAGAGUGUAACUAACACACAGUCAGUUCUCUAUUGUCUAUCGGUGGUAAAUAAGAGACGUCCAAAAAAUGUUGCGUCUGUGUGAGCGACCUAUGAGUUACUUUGAUCAGUGUAUGGAAUGUUGUCAUUUUAUCUCCAGUACACACUGUCAGUCGGAUUCAACAGAACUGAGUCAGGGCGAGCCAGAUUUUUCCUCCAUGGAGGAGCAAAAGCUACCAUUUUGGCACUAUACGACCGAUUUGAUUGGUGACUUAAUAAAAACUACACGUUUGAUGUUGAAGGUCACAGUUGAAUUUAGUUGAUGUGGUUGAAUUUUUGGUAAAAUGGUAGCUUUUACCACAUCCAUGACAGGAAGUCUUGCUGGCUGUGACUCAAUCAGAUAAAUUUAUUGGGUGUGUGUGCUGGGUGUAAGAUAUGAGUAGACAACUGAGAGGUCUAUAAUAUAAAGUGUUGAACGCUACAACUUUAUACAAAGAAAUGAAUCAAUUGUUUACAACAUUAAGCUAAAGAAUGGAGUUGUUUGUUUGUGGGGCACUUUGUUCAUUUUUAGAAUCGGAGAACUCCGGACACUUCUUCCUUUAUUGUAGUUACUUACUAAUAAAUGCAAUCACAGAGACUGCUAAAUUUGCUGACUGAAAAGUAAUUUUUUUGUAUGUAUAUUUUUUUGUUCCUAUAUUUCUGAACUGUGAGCUUCUAGGACUGUGAGAGUGCUGUGUAGAGCACUGAAUCAAAUCUUCCAUCUCGCUAAUAUUUUUUAAAAAAGAUAUUGAACCUAUAUAGGCUGCUGACAGAAAUAUGAUUUCCCUCUCACCCGUGUAAUAGUUUCUUCAAGGUGCAUUUUAUUAAUCAGUUAGUCUGAGAUUUUUCUGUUUUGUUUUUGUUCCAACUUUCUGUUGCCUUUGUUUGUUGCUGUUUUUGUAUUUCCCCCAUGGUGACAUCAUUAAAGCAAUAUUUGGAAUUUUC